rfam:Genlisea aurea contig_18881, whole genome shotgun sequence.
AUACUUACCUGGACGGGGUGAAUGGGUGAUCAACAAGGCCCAUCCCUAGGUUGGCAGCUUCCAUUGCACUUAGGAAGUUUGCCCGUCUAAGGUCGGCCCAAGUGGUCGAGCCUACGUCAUAAUUUGUGUCCGAGGGGGCCUGCGUUCGCGCGGCCCCUGC